AUGGCCGUCAGCCGCAGAACUCCCGACGUCUUCCCGCUGAUCUCCUGCGACGCCGACGGCUGCACCGACAGCGUCACCUUCGGUUGCUUGGUCAGCGAUUUCUUCCCCGAACCCGUCACCGUCACCUGGGUCUCCAAGGUGGGAGGAGAAACCGAGACCUUUCCGGUUGUAGUGGACAACGGCAGCUACUACACCCUCAGCAGUCAAUUCACCGUCCCCGCCGACAGCUUGAGCGGCAACACCUUCCAGUGCAGGGUUGACCACAGCGCCACCAGAACCGUCACCAAGGACAUCUCAGGUGAUGACGUAUGUCGUCCUGAUGAGCCCGACAUAAAGCUCCUGAGCGACCCAAACAAGUACCACGAGGAGGAGAAGGUCCUGCUGCUGUGCCUCGUCGAGGGGAACCGAGCCGGCGACGCCCGCGUGCAAUGGCUGAAGAACCACGAAGUGGUGGACCUGCACCAGGAGGACACCACCUGCAACACGUGCUCCAGCGACAAGGCCACGUUCAGCAGCCGGGUCAACGUCACCCAGGAGAGCUGGGACCACGGGGCCGAGUACUCUUGCAAGGUGACCCACCCGUCGCUGAAGGCGCCGGCCAUCGUCAACAUCAGCACCUUCUGCUCAGAUACCAAACCGGCGGUGGAGGUCACCAUCCUCCCGCCCUCCUUGGAGGACCUCUACCUCAGCCAGAACGCCAGCCUCACCUGCGUGGCCACCAACCUGAAGUCGCACGAGGACGUGAAGUUCUCCUGGAGCCGGGAGAACGGCAACGCCUUGGAUGUCACCUCCGGGCCAGCGGAGAAGUUGGAGAACGGGCUUUACCGCCUCACCAGCACCCUGAAGAUCUGCGCCGAUGAGUGGAACUCCGGGGAGAAGUUCACCUGCGCCGUCACGGUCCCCGAGCUCGGGCAGCCAAUCACCAAGUCCAUUAAGAAAGACAUAGCCGCCUCCGUGAAGGCGCCUUCCGUCUACGUCUUCCCGCCGCCGGCUGAGGAGUUGGCCCGUCAGGAAACGGCCACCUUGACCUGUUUGGUCUUGGGGUUCCGGCCUCGGGACAUCUUGGUGACCUGGACCCAAGAAGAUCGUCCCGUUGCCCCCGGUAGCUUCACCAUCUUUGGUCCCAAAGAAGAAGGAGAUACCUACACCGCUUACAGCAAGUUGAGCGUGCCGGCAGCCGACUGGCAACGCGGCGACAGCUUUGCCUGCGUGGUUGGCCACGACGGCAUCCCCAUGCACUUCGUGCAGAAGAACCUGGACAAAGCCCUCGGUAAACCCACCGCCGUCAACGUCUCGGUGAUCCUCUCCGACUCCGACGUCACCUGCUACUGA